rnacentral:rRNA from 1 species
ACGGGUGAGUAACGCGUGGGUAACCUGCCCUGUACAGGGGGAUAACAGUCAGAAAUGGCUGCUAAUACCGCAUAAGCGCACAGAGCUGCAUGGCUCAGUGUGAAAAACUCCGGUGGUAUAAGAUGGACCCGCGUUGGAUUAGCUAGUUGGUGAGGUAACGGCCUACCAAGGCGACGAUCCAUAGCCGACCUGAGAGGGUGAUCGGCCACAUUGGGACUGAGACACGGCCCAAACUCCUACGGGAGGCAGCAUG